rnacentral:rRNA from 1 species
GGACCCGCACAAGCGGUGGAGCAUGUGGUUUAAUUCGAUGCAACGCGAAAAACCUUACCUACUCUUGACAUACUUGGAAGCUCUUGUAAUGAGAGUGUGCCUUUUGGAACCAAGAUACAGGUGCUGCAUGGCUGUCGUCAGCUCGUGUCGUGAGAUGUUGGUUAAGUCCCGCAACGAGCGCAACCCUUGUCAUUAGUUGCUACAUUUAGUUGGGCACUCUAAUGAGACUGCCGGUGAUAAACCGGAGGAAGGUGAGGACGACGUCAAGUCAUCAUGGCCCUUACGAGUAGGGCUACACACGUGCUACAAUGGGGAAUACAGACGGACGCUAAGCCGCGAGGUGGUGCU